rnacentral:rRNA from 1 species
AAUGAACGCUGGCGGCAUGCCUAACACAUGCAAGUCGAACGAAGGCUUCGGCCUUAGUGGCGCACGGGUGCGUAACGCGUGGGAAUCUGCCCUUGGGUUCGGAAUAACUGUUAGAAAUGACUGCUAAUACCGGAUGAUGUCGUAAGACCAAAGAUUUAUCGCCCAAGGAUGAGCCCGCGUUGGAUUAGCUAGUUGGUGGGGUAAAGGCCUACCAAGGCGACGAUCCUUAGCUGGUCUGAGAGGAUGAUCAGCCACACUGGGACUGAGACACGGCCCAGACUCCUACGGGAGGCAGCAGUGGGGAAUAUUGGACAAUGGGCGAAAGCCUGAUCCAGCAAUGCCGCGUGAGUGAUGAAGGCCUUAGGGUUGUAAAGCUCUUUUACCCGGGAUGAUAAUGACAGUACCGGGAGAAUAAGCUCCGGCUAACUUCGUG